rnacentral:tRNA from 1 species
GCCUGGGUGGCUCAGUUGGUUGAGCGUCUGACUUCGGCUCAGGUCAUGAUCUCACAGUUCGUACGGGGUUCGAGCCCCGCAUCGGGCU